UAUCCACAGAGCAGAUAGAGCAUUGGGAGAACAAUGCGAUCUUCCCCACACUGUCCUGUCAACAUACCUCAACCGUGACUUUGAGGAACCAUCUGUCCUGUUA
rnacentral:sRNA from 1 species